AAUUCUCAAAACCCUUUCUUUUGAUAGGAAAGGAUUUUGGACUUGGAGGCCUUUUGCUGGUUUCACCUCGAAGCGAGCUCCUCCCAAAUGAAUCAGUGGGGUCUGCUUUGCCGAUCCUUGGCGUGAUAGGUCAUUUCUACGUCUCGGGUUUUGGCACUGUACACCUGCUUCUAACCGUCUCAUCGACAACGAUGGUGUUCCGGUCGCCGCCGAUCCGUCGGCGGAAGGCUUGACCCACAAAACGAA
rnacentral:misc_RNA from 1 species